rnacentral:rRNA from 1 species
UACGUAGGGGGCAAGCGUUGUCCGGAAUUAUUGGGCGUAAAGGGCUCGUAGGCGGUUUGUCGCGUCGGGAGUGAAAUCCACUGGCUUAACUGGUGGCUUGCUUUCGAUACGGGCAGACUGGAGGUAUGCAGGGGAGAACGGAAUUCCUGGUGUAGCGGUGAAAUGCACAGAUAUCAGGAGGAACACCGGUGGCGAAGGCGGUUCUCUGGGCAUGGUCCUGACGCUGAGGAGCGAAAGUGUGGGGAGCGAACAGG